rnacentral:rRNA from 1 species
AAACCCUUUGUGAACUUAUACCUUACUGUUGCCUCGGCGCAGGCCGGCCCCUCCCGCGGGGCCCCUCCGGAAGGAGGAGCAGCCCGCCGGCGGCCAACUAAACUCUUGUUUCUUAGUGAAUCUCUGAGUAAAAAACAUAAAUGAAUCAAAACUUUCAACAACGGAUCUCUUGGUUCUGGCAUCGAUGAAGAACGCAGCGAAAUGCGAUAAGUAAUGUGAAUUGCAGAAUUCAGUGAAUCAUCGAAUCUUUGAACGCACAUUGCGCCCUCUGGUAUUCCGGAGGGCAUGCCUGUUCGAGCGUCAUUUCAACCCUCAAGCACUGCUUGGUGUUGGGGCACCGCCUGUGAAAGGGCGGGCCCUGAAAACUAGUGGCGAGCUCGCCAGGACCCCGAGCGUAGUAGUUUAUAUCUCGUUCUGGAAGGCCCUGGCGGUGCACUGCCGUUAAACCCCCAACUUCUGAAAUUUUGACCUCGGAUCAGGUAGGAAUACCCGCUGAACUUAAGCAUAUCAAUAAGCGGAGGAA